UUUAAAGUCUAAUCUGCCCAAUGAUUAAUUUAUUGAAUGGCCGCAGUAUUUUGACUGUGCAAAGGUAGCAUAAUAAUUAGUUCUUUAAUUAAGGACUGGUAUGAAUGAUUGAACGAGAAAGAGACUGUCUCAAUUUAAUUUAAUUAGAAUUUUAUUUUUAAGUUAAAAAGCUUAAAUAAUUUUAAAAGACGAGAAGACCCUAUAGAGUUUUAUAUUUUUUAUAUUAUUAAUUUUAAGAAUUUGAUUAUUAUUAUUAUUAUUAAAAUAUUUUGUUGGGGUGAUAGAAAAAUUAAAGUAACUUUUUUUAUAUUUAAACAUAUAUUUAUGAAUGAAUGAUCCAUAAUUUAUGAUUAAAAGAUUAAAUUACCUUAGGGAUAACAGCGUAAUUUUUUUAGAGAGUUCUUAUCGAUAAAAAAGAUUGCGACCUCGAUGUUGGAUUAAAAUUUACUAUUGGUGAAGAAGCUAAUUAGUUAGGUCUGUUCGACCUUUAAAAUUUUACAUGAUCUGAGUUUAAACCGGUGUGAGCCAGGUUGGUUUCUAUCUUUAAAUUAAAUAAAUAUUUUAGUACGAAAGGACCAAAUAUUUACAAUAAUUGUUAUAUUUAGAAUAAUAUUA
rnacentral:rRNA from 1 species